CUACGGGGGGCUCCAGUGGGGAAUAUUGCACAAUGGGCGCAAGCCUGAUGCAGCCAUGCCGCGUGUAUGAAGAAGGCCUUCGGGUUGUAAAGUACUUUCAGCGGGGAGGAAGGGAGUAAAGUUAAUACCUUUGCUCAUUGACGUUACCCGCAGAAGAAGCACCGGCUAACUCCGUGCCAGCAGCCGCGGUAAUACGGAGGGUGCAAGCGUUAAUCGGAAUUACUGGGCGUAAAGCGCACGCAGGCGGUUUGUUAAGUCAGAUGUGAAAUCCCCGGGCUCAACCUGGGAACUGCAUCUGAUGCUGGCAAGCUUGUGUCUCGUAGAGGGGGGUAGAAUUCCAGGUGUAGCGGUGAAAUGCGUAGAGAUCUGGAGGAAUACCGGUGGCGAAGGCGGCCCCCUGGACGAAGACUGACGCUCAGGUGCGAAAGCGUGGGGAGCAAACAGGAUUAGAUACCCCCGUAGUC
rnacentral:rRNA from 1 species